UAGAGGUGACGUUGUAAGACUAGGGGAAAGGGAGGAGGGUAAUAGGCGAGGAGGGCAGCCGGGCGGCGGUCACCGGCUGGAGCGUUGUUGCGGCGUAGUCGCCGCACCCGCAUGGACUAUGCCGCUGCUCGACGCCCCCUCGGAGAAGCACACCGUGACGGCCCCUGCUGGCUCCGUACGCCUCUAGCUUCCCUAGUCCCGCCGCCGCUCGACGUCUGCUCGCCUUCGAGUAGGCCUACCGCCUGCUCCGCCGGCGUCGCUCGAGCUACGUUCGCCGGCGCCGCCGCCGCGACCGGAGGGAGGUGGAGGGAGGAGGUCCUGACUGUCUUUGACUGUUGGUUCUAGCCUUUUAAAAGCCCUCUCCUCGUGCCUAUUUCGCCUUCCGCUUCGCCUUCACCCCGAAGCAACCGCCACUUCGCCCGCGCCACCUGAGACCGCCCGACGCAGGGCCAGAAUCAGUAGCGGCCAGCUGGACGUCCCCUCCUCAACCUAGGUACCUACUUCAUAAUGUACCACUUCACCCGUAGUCCUCGGCAAAGUCACGACCCUCCUAAGCUCUCUAGUACGCAUCAGACUGUGGGGCCGUCGUCCCCAUACAACGUUUCAUACCUAAGCUCGUAAAGUUAGCAUAGCCCCGUAAGAGACAAGUACUCGGUGACUGACUCACCUAGUACCCUUUUUAAUUGGGGGGCAAGAGACUCAAGUCUUAAUUACGCCUGUUCUGUUAUCAAAAGUCGUUCGGGGAACAAGUCUUUUAAGAUCCACAUGGAUGUCCCCCUUCUGGGAAACAUGACGUACCAGUCUUCAGCCUGUUUUAGUUUCUUGACGCUCUAGACAUGAAUUUAUUACCUGAUUCCCGUUGGUAGGGGGUAACACAGUCAAACGAAUUCUUGUUGCUCCUACUCCUUAGGAAGUACUCCUGUAAGGACGAAUAACGUGACCGCCGUCACGAGUGGGGGUGGUGACCCUUAUGUUAUCUGGAACUGAUGGACACCCGGAAACUUCUAUACAGUUUCCACGUACUGGAACUGACCCGUCCGGUAUAGUGCCUCGUAGACUACCUGCUCCAGGUCUUUAAAGUCAUGUUUAGAUCCCUCCUUUUCUACUCUCUGAAGACCCAACCACCCACGAAUGGAAACGAGUGCUAGCGAAUGUACCUGGUGAACCUAGAGGGUUCUCCCGCUUAACAUCUGGUACUUUAAUUGAUGAGCCACGGGUCCUAGACGGUACAAAGAUUCCUACUAAAGGUCAAACGGCGUUAACGACUGGACGUAGCAGUUGUAAAGUUCAAACGGUGUAAACCCUAUGAAGGUAAGGCACUAUCUUGUGGUAUGUGACUAUUAGGUCAUUGGCUAUGUCUUCAUCGUCGUCUACUAGAAGCAUAAGAGAGCUUACUAGUUCAGAAUAGUCCCGUUACCCUUGAACAUCUUCAUGUGCUCGUUUUUUAUCUGCUUGAACAUUUUCUUUGAGUUGGACUUCGGGAACCCAAACGUCUUCGCUCGUAGCUAGUAAAGGCAGAACCUUCUUGACUAUAGCCGAGUUUAGUUCAUCUUCUGUCACGAGCUCUUAUACUUAGAAGUCUCAGUCUACUAGUGGGCUGUGGAGGUCUUCGACUAAUACCCCAUUAUAAGUCCUCAAUAGAUAGACCUUGUGUUUACCUCUCUCAUUUGUACGAAUAGGUGUUUUAAUUUGGACUUUGAUAACAUAAGCACCGAUGGUACUCCUUCACGCUACAAGUCGAUGGAUGAGGAGAAGACUAGUAAAGCUUCCUUGCGAGUAAUCGGCGUCGACGUGUGAAAGGCGUACUUUUGCCCCGGCAGUGUGAAGUCUACGGCCCGUUCUCGCUCUUCACCUCCGGUUCUAAGAAGUAUCUUUUUCUGUUAACGUACGAACGCCCAUUAACCAAUCUGAAACAUACACUGUUGGUUCACGUCCACCCGCUGUAUACGUAGAAACAUGGCCUUUUCCCACCCCUUUCCAGGUGAAAGUGCCAGGUAUAUUAAGCACGUCUUCGAUGAGUAGCAUCCCCACAAUUUUCCCAAGCGAGGUCGGAACUAAGAGGCCAACCGCAUAUUCCUUACCGUUUAGGUCUACGGCAAAUCCUUACCGUUGGCCUACCUACGAGCGUUUACCAACCCUCCGUUCGAACAGGUGCCGUUGCCAGACACAAGACCCUGUACACGGACAAGCUUGACUUUUUUCACUCUCCAUCGUGAUCAAACAUCAUCUCGUCUUACCACCCUGUACUCUCGAUCGUGGGCGUACGAGAAAGACAACCAUGAAACACACAGAGACACUACAAAACAUGAUAUACUUUAGUUCGAUACCGAUUGAGAGACUAGUAUAAGAGGAUAUAUUGGUAGGACCUUCUACGGCCAUUAAAAUUAAAACUUCAAAGCACC
rnacentral:rRNA from 1 species